AUGCUGCGGCAAGUCUUAAUCCAAGAGCGAGAGCCACCCUGGUUCUCGCUGGGGAAUCGUUCACAGUCAGCUCCGAGUCCGGUACCCUGUCGGAGCAGCUGGCGGCAAAUGAGGGAGAGGAGCAUGGUGAUACUCAAGGAGUACAUUACCAAGCACAACGCUCCGAACGAUGUCCCUGAUGAAUCCAUCGAGGGCUCAUCUGAUGAGGAGGGUGAAGCACUUGCCAAAACCCCGCCAAAGAAAUCUAAGAAGAAGUGA
rnacentral:rRNA from 1 species